AUGAGAACAUUGUGCUAUAAUUGUCGCGGGAUUGGCGACUCCGCGACAGUUUGUGAGCUCCGGGAGUUCAUUCAGGAGAGUGCGCUGUCGGUGGUUUGCAUUGUGGAGACUAUGUCAAAGCAGAGAGUGGAGGGCCUGACGACGAUGUUAGGUUUUCGGGGAGGUUUUCGUGUGGCUAGUUGUGGACGGAGCGGAGGCUUGCGACUUUUCUGGAGGCAUGGAUUAAAUGUUCGAGUGAAGAACUUUUCUCGUUACCAUAUUGAUGCGUGGGUUGCAGAACCAGGUAAGGAGGAUUGGAGGUUAACUUGCUUUUAUGGUGAGGCAAACCGUAGUUUGUUGCAAAACACCUAG
rnacentral:rRNA from 1 species